GCCGGGUGAGGUGGCCCAGCCUGUAAUCCCAGCGGCUUGGGAGGCCGAGGCAGGAGGAUUGCAAGUUCAAAGUCAGCCUCAGCAACUUAACGAGACCCUGUCUCAA
rnacentral:sRNA from 1 species